rnacentral:rRNA from 1 species
UUGAACGCUGGCGGCAGGCCUAACACAUGCAAGUCGUAACAAGGUAACCCGGGCGGCCGCUCGAGCCAAAUUUUUGUUGUACGGGUGAGUAAUGUCUGGGAAACUGCCCGAUGGAGGGGGAUAACUACUGGAAACGGUGCUAAUACCGCAUAAUGUCGCAAGACCAAAGAGGGGGACCUUCGGGCCUCUUGCCAUCGGAUGUGCCCAGAUGGGAUUAGCUUGUUGGUGAGGUAACGGCUCACCAAGGCGACGAUCCUAGCUGGUCUGAGAGGAUGACCAGCCACACUGGAACUGAGACACGGUCCAGACUCCUACGGGAGGCAGCAGUGGGGAAUAUUGCACAAUGGGCGCAAGCCUGAUGCAGCCAUGCCGCGUGUAUGAAGAAGGCCUUCGGGUUGUAAAGUACUUUCAGCGGGGAGGAAGGGGUUAAGGUUAAUAACCUUAGCCAUUGACGUUACCCGCAGAAGAAGCACCGGCUAACUCCGUGCCAGCAGCCGCGGUAAUACGGAGGGUGCAAGCGUUAAUCGGAAUUACUGGGCGUAAAGCGCACGCAGGCGGUCGUCAAGUCGGAUGUGAAAUCCCCGGGCUCAACCUGGGAACUGCAUUCGAAAUGGCAGGCUUGAUUUC